rnacentral:rRNA from 1 species
GUGGGGAAUAUUGGACAAUGGGCGAAAGCCUGAUCCAGCCAUGCCGCGUGUGUGAAGAAGGUCUUCGGAUUGUAAAGCACUUUAAGUUGGGAGGAAGGGUAGUAACCUAAUACGUUGCUACUUUGACGUUACCGACAGAAUAAGCACCGGCUAACUUCGUGCCAGCAGCCGCGGUAAUACGAAGGGUGCAAGCGUUAAUCGGAAUUACUGGGCGUAAAGCGCGCGUAGGUGGUUCAGUAAGUUGGAAGUGAAAUCCCCGGGCUCAACCUGGGAACUGCUUUCAAAACGGCUGAGCUAGAGUACGGUAGAGGGUGGUGGAAUUUCCUGUGUAGCGGUGAAAUGCGUAGAUAUAGGAAGGAACACCAGUGGCGAAGGCGACUACCUGGACUGAUACUGACACUGAGGUGCGAAAGCGUGGGGAGCAAACAGGAUUAGAAACCCCUGUAGUCC